GUCAUUUUUAUAACCGAAGGUCACUUUUGUGCGCAUAUCCCAGGCUCGUUCCAGGAUCCAGCAUUUAAAACUGAGGUUCUUUGCAACAAGUUGCAUUUGCGGAUUUUUUUCCCAAGACAGAAACCUGUGGACAAACAGAAGCAGCAUGUGAAUCGCAGUGUAGCAGGGGCAGACCUCGCAUGACCUUACUGCUUAAAAGCUGUACCUGUAAAGCCCGGCUGCACCAGUUAACUUCUCCUUGUGCCAAAGGCAAAACUUAUGUUUGCACCUUUUUUUUUUUUUUUUUUUUUUUUUUUUUUUUUCUGGUUCUCAGGUUGAUUAAUACUGCUAAUGCAAAUGCUCAAGUAGAUUUCUUUGAAACUUUACAAAGUAGGUUCAAGCGAUACUUUUAAAAGUGAAGAGUUGAUGAUUAUAUAUAGUCAAUCCAUGAACUACAGUAGGUUUGUAUCAAACAGAAGUUUUUUUUUUUAAAUGAAAAUCUGUUGGUUGAUAUGUACGCAAUAUGCUUCUUAGACUAUUCUAGUCCUUAGCUGUGGUCUCUGCUAGAUGUCCAGACUUUCACGGUGGAGAAGGGGUAGGGAUGAAUUCGUGUGGUCUCCUUGGGGUGGAAACAUGACAUACCUGGAGGGUGAUACCAAGGCCUUGCUUAUGCUUGUUUUUCCAUACACUGAAUAAUUUUAAAUGAUUUAGACACUUUGGUGUAUAAUGCUGAAUGAAUUCUAAGGAAACACUGACACUGUUUAAAAUAGUUACAUUCUUAGGUUUAUUGUAUCACAGCCCAGUGACUUUCCUCUUGAGAUUGUAGCUCAGAGGAAACAUUCAGGAUCUAAUAGGGAACCCAAGGGGAUAGAAGUGGGGAGAUAAGAUUCUUUUUUUUUUUUUUUUUUUUUUUUUUUUUUUGGCUUUUUAGGGCUGCACUUGCAGCAGAUGGAUAUUCCCAGGCUAGGAGGUCAAAUUGGAGUUACAGCUGCCAGUCUACGCCGCAGCCACACAGGAUCCGAGCCGCGUCUGCAACCUACACCACGGGUCAUGGCAAUGCCAGAUCCUUAACCCACUGGGCGAGGCCAGGCCAGGGAUCGAACCCACAACCUCAUGGCUUCUAGUCGGAUUCUUUUCCGCUGCACCACAACGGGAACGGCAUCCUUUGUCCUGACGUAGCAGCAUUUGCCCAAGGAGUUCAGGGUUAGGGUUGCUUCCCACUUCCCAUCAUGUUCUUCCACUGCUGUCGGAUAUAAGUCAUACAGCUGAUGCCCAGGUGAAUCCCUGGAGAAGGGUAAGAAUAAAGCUCCCAAGACAUGAAAGAGCUUGACACGCACUUGGCACACAAUACUCAGUACAUGGUUGGCUCUAUUUAUGGGAUGGUCUCAUUCUUGUUUAGGGAGGAAAGCAGAAAAGCAGUGGUUCCUGUUCAGCAGGUGUCCCUGUGCGUCUUGAGCGUGUCGAGUAGUCACCCUCUAACCUGUAAUACUUGAUCAGCACUAAGGGAAGUACAAAUUAUGAAGCUAGCAAAAGUCUGAGGCCAAAGGUAUUUCUGUCCUAACAGCUUUAAUAAUGCUUAUUGAUUUUGAAUCAUCUUUUUAAAAAGUGGACCAUUUACUUAUUUUAAUAUCAUCACUUCAGCAAAAUGGUAGUGUUGAAAAGAUCAGCUUUCAUGGCACUAAGGAAUGUAUCUGCUAAGACACAAAAGUUGCUUGGUGUGCAUGUGUAUGAGGCCGAGGAGGAAAGAUUGUAGGCGGAUGAAAAUUUAACAGACUGGAGUAUUUAUUCAGAAGUAUCCAUUGGGAAAGGGUGGGAUUCUUCCACUGAUGCGCCUCCUGCCUGUGUGUGCGUCUGCAUGGGCCAGUGUGUGUGUGUGUGUGUGUGUGCGCGCGCGCGCGUGCGUGCGUGUAGGUACUUGGGCACAGCUACGACAGUGUUUGGAAUUGUAGACAGAAGCAGCUGUUGAUCGGGUGACAGAGACAGACGAUUGUCCUCAUCUCGCUGGCGGGACCUCCUGAGGCGGAGCCCACCCUGCUCUCCAGGCAGACCCCUGUUCCUGCUCUGCGGUCUGCUCCGUCUCGUUUCGGUUGUGGUACUGAGCAUCAGCACUGCUCGAAGGUCCUCGCGUGUUAGCAUCACUAGUUCUGAGGAGUUUGGGUACAUUUGUUUCAGUAUAUGUAGAAGGUCCAGUAAACUUUCUCUCUCUCUUUUAAGCAAAAUGACUCAUUUUAGGUCCAAUAUUGAGCUGACAGAUCUACUGUGAGAAUGAGCUGACGUAUCUACUGUGAGAAUAACAUAAUGAUAGUUUAUUUGAAAACUUCUGUACACAGUGGUGUUUAUAUAUCCAGAUAAAUAUAUAAACACGUAUGCAUGCAUGCAUCACAUCUCUCUACUGUAGAGGUAAUGUGAAUUUUUAAAUUUUAAAUGGAAUUGCAACCACAAUCAUUGCUAAAAGAACAUUCACUCCUAGUGAGGGUUUACAAAAGCCACUAAAAGAAUAAGGUAGACAGAUAAAAAUGCAAAGGGCCAUCAUUUGGGGUUAUUUUUAUUUAAAAAUUUAUUGUGCUACUUUUGAAAGAGAAUUGUUUUUAUUACUACGUUCUUUGUGAUUGGAAAGUCAUCUAAUAGUAAGCAGUGCAGUAAUAGGAAGCUACUUUUUAAUUGCUGGCAAACAGCUUUAAGUGCACUUUCUUUUAUUACACUUCCAUUUUUUGUUAAACUUGAAUUUUCUGAAGCCUUUUAUGUACCACUAAGCAAUUAACUUUAACUUUUAAUAAACCUGAUUUACAUCUUUAUUAUAUUUCUAAUUGCUAAAAAAACAUACUUUCUAAAGUUCAGUCCUCAAAUAUAGCUGGGAAACUUAUGAGAUAGAAUCACUUGCUGUUUUUUUCUUCUUUUAUCUAAUUAAGCACUAACAGAUUUUAGUACUAUAUUGCCUUUAUGUCGCUUAUUCUUAUUGACUGAAAUUUGUCCCUCAUUCACUUUGUUUGAAAUUUAAAGUUAUUUUCUUACUGUAUUUAUCAUACCUACUGUUUUAAUAAUCUGCAUUCUUUAAAUGCAAUAAAUCCCAAGUGGAUUGCAUAUUCUUUUUA
rnacentral:lncRNA from 1 species